UGGUUGGAGGCUUUCAUGUCUCUUUGGGGAGAGCUGGCAGUGUUUGGAGCCGAUAACAUUUUCUCAAUGUUGAGCAGUUCCCAAGGACAGUCAGCAUUUCUAGACUUCCACAAAAUUGUGCUGUGUUUGACUGGAGCCCUGUGUUCAGUGGUUUCCCCGCCCAAGGCUGCUGCAGGCCCAUCUUCCACAUCCUCAUGUGCAUGUUGAGGACCUUAGGAGAUUCACACGCUGGCUCCUGAAUGGUGCUCUGGCUCCUUGGUGAUGAAGGUCCUGCUUGAGCUGCUGCCAACUCCAUGUCAGGGAAGUCGCUUUUGGGGAAUGCCUCGAGCCAUAGAGCCUGAAAUCAUCUUUUUUGGUUCAGAAAAUACCUUAACUUCACUCAGCUGGAACUGCGUUGAAAGCGAGGCCGUCCCUUGGAUCAAGCAGAAAACAAGAGAGAAAGAACAUUCCCUUUGGGGACAGUCUGGAAAGCUGGGAUUUGCAAAUAAAGGCUCUGGAAGCAUUGCUAGUCCUGAAGCUUUGGAGGUGGGCAGAGUGAGCUUCAGGAAGACUGGAUGCAAACCCUGGGAAGGAUUAAGGCUCAACUCUGGAGAAACAGGCCAUGGGCUCUCAGAGCAGCCAUUAGCUGUAAAUAGAGGUAGCAAGGCCACUUCCAGGCCCCUGUGAGUAUGGGCACCUGUACGUGCAGUGCUCCAACUCUGCAGAGGUGCCAAGUGACCCUGCUGGGCCAGUCCCAGAGAGUUAAGAAGUCAAGGCCUUCAACUCCUGGUUCUUCCUGUUCGGACCAGUUCUUGUGCCGUUGGCAGGAUGAGAGGCAGCAGCCAGGCGGGAGCUGUGUCUAGCAACACCUGUAGCCCACGUGCUGCUAAUUAGCUGGAAAACUGGGGAAGGCAGAACCUUUGCUACCAGGAAUCUUGACAUGUGGGGUCCAUCUUGAGAAUUUGUAAAUGAACAGUCCAAUAUUUCCCCUAGGCUCAUUUUGCGCAUCCAUUUUGGGGGAAAUGUGAUUUCUCUCUUUUUUUUUUCCACUUUCUUUUUGCCCAAGGCACAAUCUCAAGAGAUCCUGAGAACAUGUACCCAUGAUUUUUCUCUUACUCUAUGAUACCCAGUAACUCCUUCACCUAAGCCCUGUUGUUGAUUUUGAAGUGCUUCCUGGGCCAGUGAUUUUAGCUCCUGCCAGCAUCCUUUUGCCAGUAGAGUAACGUGUUUUUAUUUUUCAAACCCCAUGUUUCCUAACAUGGAAUGUAUGGGUCCAAGAAGAGCCUGCUGUCCUCCCUGCCUUCCACCUUGGAGAGGAGGCCGGGCGCAUCAGCAGCAGCCAGGACAGGUCGCAAAAACCUCCCAUCCUAGAGACCAUACCUGAAACGGCUGAAGCCAGCUUGCACAAGGGCUGCGGACUGUCCCCCUGUGGCAGGCAGAGCUGGUGGGGGCAAGGGCCACAGAGCAGUCAUAGACACUGUGGACUGGGGCAGGAGAAGGACAGAUGGGACAUGGGCACAAUGGGGCCUUGUCCUUAGAGCACUGGGAG
rnacentral:lncRNA from 1 species